AUUGAACGCUGGCGGCAGGCUUAACACAUGCAAGUCGAGCGAGCGGCGGACGGGUGGGUAAUGUCUGGGAAACUGCCUGAUGGAGGGGGAUGACGACUGGAAAAGGUAGCUAAUAGCGCAUACCAUCAGAUGUGCCGAGAUGGGAUUAGCUAGUAGGUGGGGUAAUGGCUCAUCUAGGCGACGAUCCCUAGCUGGUCUGAGAGGCUGACCAGCCACACUGGAACUGAGACACGGUCCAGACUCCUACGGGAGGCAGCAGUGGGGAAUAUUGCACAAUGGGCGCAAGCCUGAUGCAGCCAUGCCGCGUGUGUGAAGAAGGCCUUCGGGUUGUAAAGCACUUUCAGCGAGGAGGCGUUACUCGCAGAAGAAGCACCGGCUAACUCCGUGCCAGCAGCCGCGGUAAUAC
rnacentral:rRNA from 1 species